AGUCAGGAGAAUGAAAAUUUUGGUACCGUCGAUGGGGAUCCCCAGGAAGAGCUCGUUGGAGGUGUCCAGCGUGAUGCACCGCAUGAAUUUUAUAACGUCCACGGAGCCCGUCUUGCUGGUGAACUCCUUCAGCCUGUCCAGAUGAGUCACGACGGAGUCAACACAGAAGUUCACCAUACGCACAAGCCCCGGGCCCGACAGAGCUGAAGAGGACACAUCAGACAGUGAGCUGCCCUGCAUCCAUGGCACACAUCAGAACUGAGGUGCAGGCCAGAAGUGUGAAGAUUCACCAGAGACAGAGUGGGGAGCAGAACAGGCAGAUUGACUGAAGUACACUGCUGAGGGGAGCAGCAGGCGAGACAGGAGAGGUCUGCUGUGCCAUGUGGGUAGCUCCCUGGCUGGGGAUCGAACUCAGGCUGCUGUGGUGGGACGUCAUGAUGUUUAGUUCAAAGAACUGGACCCUGAGGAUACAUAGGAUUUCAU